GCCCAAAGACCGCCAGGAAAGCGCCUCCACCCUUUCAAAAAGUGCCCCGGAAGUGCCUCCGCCCUGAGUAAAGAUGGCGGUAGCACCUGCCAGGAGGGAGGCGGUGCUGCGCCUGCGCAGCCAGCUCGGCGGGGAAGAUGGCGGAUGACAAGGAUUCUCUUCCCAAACUUAAGGAUCUGGCAUUUCUCAAGAACCAGCUGGAGCACUUGCAGCAGCGUGUGGAAGACGAAGUCAGUAGUGGUGUAAGCCAGCACUCCUGCGAGACAGCGGCGCUCACGUCCCCUGCCUCCCUCCGCCUUUUCCAGAGGAGACCGCUGAAGCUCGCAGAGGCCGGGCGACCUGCUGGUUUAUCCAUGUUGCAGCAUGCAUCAGUACUUCUCUCCUUCCUAUGACUGAAUAAUGUUCCAUGUAGUGAUGAAAUUGCUUCGGUCACCAAGCACCCAGAGUUUGGCCAGAUUUCACAGGUUCAAUGAUUCACAAGAAGGACUCACAGAACUCAAGAAAAUACUCUGCGUAUGAUUCCCUUUUUAAUUAUAAAAGAUACAGAUGAACAGUCAGAUGAAGAGCUACUAUUCCUCCUUCUAAAGUACAUAUGGAUUUCAACAAAUGCUGAAUCGUCAGAAAAAUCUUAUAAAAGAAGAACAAAGUUGGAGGAUUCACACUUCCUGAUUUCAAAACUUAUUGUGAAGUCACAGUAAUCAAGACACUGUGGUACGGGUAUAAGAAUAAACAGAGAGCUCAGCGAGAGAGGCCUGAGAGUCCAGAAUAAAUCUGUGUUUCUAUUCAGUUGAUUUGACAAGGAUGUCAAGAACAUUCAUUGAGGAAAGAUUCAUCUUCUCAACAAAUAGCACCGGGGCACCCGGAUAUCCAGAUACAGAUAAGUGAAACUGGACCCUUAUCUCAGACCAUACACAAAAAUUAACUCACACUGAGCAAUUUGCUAAAUGUAAGCACUAAAUCUAUAAAACUCACAGAAGAAAAUACAGAAAUUAAUCCUCAUGA